GCCCUAUUUAGAAGGUGGAGCCUCUUCUGUUGUUAAUGGAGAUAGUAUAGAAAACUUCGUUUUUGAUGAAGAUGCUUCUUCUAUAGGACG
rnacentral:tRNA from 1 species